CUGACAAUUCCAGAGACCAAUAGAAAAAGAAAGUAGCGUAUUAGCAGACAUGGGCAAAGUGCGCAGGUUGUUAUUGCAUUGCCUUUAGUGUGUGAUGCAUGGUUUGUGAGUGGUAGUAAUAGUAUGGAUAUGGAAACGCAUAGUAAGAGUUGGUCAUUAAAACUGAAACCGAACUGAAGCAAGGUGUAGAAAAGAGGAUGACUAAAAAUCGAUCCCUUGCCACUGUCCUUGAACGGUAUAAUGUUCUAAAAAUAUUUAAAGGUUAAAUACAAAUGUAUACAUCAGUUAUAAAUAAUUGAACCAAAAUAAGUGGAUUGAAUUGAUCCAUUUCAGAUAUCAUAAGGGCUGGGUUUUUCUGUAAAUUUCAGCACAGGCUGCCAGUGAUUAUCUCUUGAUUUAUUAAAGUGCAGUGCUAUUUUUAAAAAUGAAUGGCAGGUAAAGAUGUGUGGCAUGUUCAGGAAUCAUUAGGAUGAAUGUUACAUGGGGUGACUUUAUUAGUCUUAAGUAAAAUUAGCAGUUACCUAAAAUGACCCUGAAAAUAGUAUUGUAAACCGUUAUCCGAUAUUCCCUUGCACCACCUGUAAUAUCCAAUAGGUGGCGGUAUAAGAUCUCUGCUCGAAUCUCUCAAACUAGAGCAAAGGGUCAAAGUUUUAUUUGACAAGUUUUACAAGUCAAGCAUGAAGAUGACAAAUUACAUGUCCGUCAUGUUGGUAUGUUGCUGAACUUUCAAACCUUGUUGAACAACCCCAAAAGCUACAAGGAAUUCUCCAACUGUGACGACAAACAUCAAUGCUGGGUGUCAAUGAGGCAUGAAAGGACGCCUUGUUAUCACAAGCAUUCAGUUUGUCCAUUAAACUGCGAAAAAUGUUCCCACGCAGGCAUUUAGCGGAGUAAAUCAUUGACACACAAUCCUCAUUCCUAGGUUACCAGCAGGAAACGCUCUCCUUGGCUUUGGCCCUGGGCUCUGAAGAGCAGGUGAGAGCUGAAGAGAUGAGAGCGCAGAAACUAGCAUGGGGUUUGGGUUACCACAACUAUUCGGCAGACGUUACUGCGGCUCGUAUCGUAGGGUGAAGGUCAUGGAAGCUAUGCGGCUCGACAGCGAGGGCCAGAUGCUCUUUUACUUCAGAGUAGAGGACAGAUUUCCUAUCUUUCUCCCUCCCUCCCCAAGAAUGUCAUGAAAACAGACAGGGAUUCCCCUCGUUGUCCGUGAAGGACGGUAAAAUGCAGAUGGCAUGGGUGAUCGGAACGCCACGUUUCCUGGAUACAAGCCGGACGAGCCAAUGUCAGUGUCUGUUGCCUUCUCAUUACCCCAGUCAACUCUUGGCCCUCAGAGACAUUUUCCAACACAUGAUGCCACUCAAGGAUGGAUCAUGAAUCAAGUCAGGACCAUCAAGCAUGGAUUAUACGGCCUCACAAUUUCAGGGACCUUCAGCUGAGGGGCCCGAAACUUGGAGAUAAACUUCUGCAGAUGUAAAAUUCAAAUCAAUUGCUUGAUUAUAUGCUUGUGGCAAUUACCAUAAUGUGAAAUAAACAAAGAAAUGAGAAAA